UUGGCGGACCAUAUUCAUGUAUUCUGCUAUGCUAAGCUCUUUUUUUUUGAAAGUUGUAUCCUAUUCAAAAGAAAUUAGCUAGGCAUAGUAGAACAUAUGAAUACUGCACCUUUUAAUAGUUCAUUGAUGCCAUUGAGGCUGUACGUUUACGUAUCAAUAACCUUUAUUUAUUGACAGUGCGUGUUAUUGUAAGUUGUUCAUUUACAACUUAUAUUUCCUACAUAGUAGGAAUUAGUUGCCACGAACGCAUUACUAUUUUGCUUGGUUCAAUGCAUUAUUGUUAUUUAAAAAGGUGCAAUAUGUUAUUCACUUUAAAGGAGCAAUUACAAGAAAGAGGCUAUGAAGAUAUUACACUAAAAGAAGUAAUUAAUAAAAUUAAGAAAUUGAAGCAAAAAUAUAAAAGUGAAAAAGACAAUGCUAAGAAGAGUGGGAAUGGGAGAAAAAAGCCAUGGAAAUACUUUCAACAGUUGGAUAGAUUUUUAUCCCAAAGACCUAAUGUUACUCCAGUGGUUUUACUUGAUAUCAUGGCUCAGGCUAAUAGUCAAAAAAAUAGUCAGUCGGACAUGCUGAGAGAUGAUGUUGAUGAUGAAAAUGAUGACAUCAUUAAUGAUAUUGUCAGUAAGUAUGGUAGAGGUGAUAAAUCCAUCAAAAAUACCAGACAUGUGAUUAUGAAAAAGUUAUCUAUAGUGAUGGAGUCCACACAACAGAGAAUGGAUGUAUGAUGGUAUACUGUGAAGAACAAUUUUCUUGCCCAAAUUGUGACAGUUCAAAUGAAACAUGUAAUAUUUGUAUGGAAGACAAUUUCUGUUUGUUAUUUUAUCAAAACAAGAUAUGUGCUCCAGCUAUUUACUAAUUGUUUUUCAAAUUAAUUAAACUUUAGUUAAUGUGGAAGUAAAUCAACAAACUGUAGCUGAGAAUUGAGCUAUUGAAUAUGAUAAAGGGAAUGACAAACCAAAGCCAGACUUAGGAGAAAGAGUUUCGGAAACACUUACAUACUAGGAAAGAAACAAAAGAAAAAAAGGAGUUCUAUUGAAAAGAGCAUGGAUGCUGUCCUGGAACAAUUCAGGGCAAUGUCAAUUGAUGAUUUUGAAAGGUAUAAAAAGCUUGAAGAGUUUAAAUUGGAAAAAGAGCAGCACUUUCAAUUAGAGCAAAUGCGACUCGAGAAUGAACGAAGAAACCAGGAAAGAGAGCAUGAGCUAAAGAUUUUCCAAUUUUUAUUUGGUAACCAGGCUACCCAGAACAUGCAAUCUACUGGCAGCUCAUCACUAAUGUUUGCCCAACCAUAUGUAAGUUUUCAACAACAUACAUUUGGAAAUGGCUGCACCAGUAUCCAAACUCCAGGCUGUAGCUUCGUAGACAGCAAUGAUGAAGAAAAAACAUAUUUCAGGUUAUGAUUUAAAGUAUUUGAAAAGUAUUUAUUUUUAAGUACUUAUGCUCACUUGAGUCUUUUAGUUCUGUUUUGAAGUUAUAUUUGUGGAACUGUUUAAUACUAUCUGAACAUUAAAUACAAUCUUUGUACACUCAUGAAUCUUAUGUUGUAUGUUGCAAUAAUUAAUGUAAUUAAACGUUUUGAAUAAUUCA